rnacentral:rRNA from 1 species
UGGGGAAUUUUGGACAAUGGGCGAAAGCCUGAUCCAGCAAUGCCGCGUGUGUGAAGAAGGCCUUCGGGUUGUAAAGCACUUUUGUCCGGAAAGAAAUCCUUGGCUCUAAUACAGUCGGGGGAUGACGGUACCGGAAGAAUAAGCACCGGCUAACUACGUGCCAGCAGCCGCGGUAAUACGUAGGGUGCAAGCGUUAAUCGGAAUUACUGGGCGUAAAGCGUGCGCAGGCGGUUUGCUAAGACCGAUGUGAAAUCCCCGGGCUCAACCUGGGAACUGCAUUGGUGACUGGCAGGCUAGAGUAUGGCAGAGGGGGGUAGAAUUCCACGUGUAGCAGUGAAAUGCGUAGAGAUGUGGAGGAAUACCGAUGGCGAAGGCAGCCCCCUGGGCCAAAUACUGACGCUCAUGCACGAAAGCGUGGGGAGCAAGCAGGAUUAGAUACCCUGGUAGUCCACGCCCUAAACGAUGUCAACUAGUUGUUGGGGAUUCAUUUCCUUAGUAACGUAGCUAACGCGUGAAGUUGACCGCCUGGGGAGUACGGUCGCAAGAUUAAACUUAAAUGAAUUGACGGGGUCAUAGCUGUUUCCU